AGCUCCAAUAGCGUAUAUUAAUGUUGUUGCAGUUAAAAAGCUCGUAGUUGAAUUUCUGAGUUUAACGUUCAGUCCUUGGCUUUAUUGCCUUGUGUAUUGUUUUAGUUAAGCUCAUCUUAGUAGUGAUUGUACUCGUCAUUAGUUUGUCGGAUGCAGGAGCUGCUUCGCUUACCGUGAGAAAAAUAGAGUGUUCAAAGCAGGCAUAAUCGCCUUGAAUACUUCAGCAUGGAAUAAGAAAAUAGGACGUAGGUGCUAUUUUAUUGGUUUGCACACCACGUAAUGAUUAAUAGGGAUAGUUGGGGGUAUUCAUAUUUGAUUGUCAGAGGUGAAAUUCUUGGAUUUAUGAAAGAUGAACUUAUGCGAAAGCAUUUAUCAAGGAUGUUUUCA
rnacentral:rRNA from 1 species